rnacentral:sRNA from 2 species
CAGUCAGGAAGCAUAUAUGGCUGUUAAGAAAGCGCUCGAAGAUCAUCCUCUGCCGGAACCUGCCCCGCCUCAGAUAACCGGAUCAGUCUUAGAAAGGGAGGAGAUCCUUGAAGCCGUUCGGGAGGCCUGGGAGACGUACAAGCCCGAGAUUGAGCUUCAAAACUUUGGCCUUGAGAGGGAUGAGAUUUUGGAAUGUUUGACUGAAGGCUUGAAGGCGUACCAGCCUCCAAAAGAGCCAGCCGAACCAGGUAUCACCUAUAACGAAGUUGUCGAAGCUGUCCAACAGGGUUUAGAAACUUUCACACCACCACGUAUUGAGCAUGACGGAGC